UUUAUGGAGAGUUUGAUCCUGGCUCAGGAUGAACGCUGGCGGCGUGCCUAAUACAUGCAAGUCGAGCGAACGGACGAGAAGCUUGCUUCUCUGAUGUUAGCGGCGGACGGGUGAGUAGCACGUGGAUAACCUACCUAUAAGACUGGGAUAACUUCGGGAAACCGGAGCUAAUACCGGAUAAUAUUUUGAACCGCAUGGUUCAAAAGUGAAAGACGGUCUUGCUGUCACUUAUAGAUGGAUCCGCGCUGCAUUAGCUAGUUGGUAAGGUAACGGCUUACCAAGGCAACGAUGCAUAGCCGACCUGAGAGGGUGAUCGGCCACACUGGAACUGAGACACGGUCCAGACUCCUA
rnacentral:rRNA from 1 species